rnacentral:rRNA from 1 species
GUGCCUAACACAUGCAAGUCGAGCGAUUUCUAUGGGAGUACUUGUACUCACAAAGAAAUAGCGGCGGACGGGUGAGUAACGCGUGGGCAACCUACCCUAAACAAUGGGAUAGCCCUUCGAAAGGAGGAGUAAUACCAUAUAACACAUUUUUAAGGCAUCUUAAAAAUGUCAAAGAUUUAUCGGUUUAGGAUGGGCCCGCGUCUGAUUAGCUAGUUGGUAAGGUAAAAGCUUACCAAGGCGACAAUCAGUAGCCGACCUGAGAGGGUGAUCGGCCACACUGGAACUGAGACACGGUCCAGACUCCUACGGGAGGCAGCAGUGGGGAAUAUUGCACAAUGGGGGGAACCCUAAUGCAGCAACGCCGCGUGAGCGACGAAGCCUUCGGGUCGUAAAGCUCUGUCCUAAGUGAAGAUAAUGACGGUAACUUAGGAGGAAGCCCCGGCUAACUACGUGCCAGCAGCCGCGGUAAUACGUAGGGGCAAGCAUUAUCCGGAAUCAUUGGGCGUAAAGGGUGAGUAGGCGGCAAUACAAGUCAGAGGUGAAAGGCUACGGCUUAACCGUA